rnacentral:rRNA from 1 species
CCCUUAGAUGUUCUGGGCCGCACGCGCGCUACACUGAUUCAUGCAACAAGUUUUGUCCUUGGCUGAUAGGCCUGGGUAAUCUUUGAACGUGAAUCGUGAUGGGGAUAGAUGAUUGCAAUUAUUCAUCUUCAACGAGGAAUUCCUAGUAAACGCAAGCCAUCAGCUUGCAUUGAUUACGUCCCUGCCCUUUGUACACACCGCCCGUCGCACCUACCGAUUGAAUGGUCCGGUGAAAUCUUCGGAUCUGAGAGAUGUCUGAUUAAUUUCGGACGCCUUUUGGAAAAGUUGUUUAAACCUUACCAUUUAGAGGAAGGUGAAGUCGUAACA